rnacentral:lncRNA from 1 species
AGUGUAUGGACACUGUAUGGCUUCAUCUCUGUCUUCUGCCUCCUGCUCUACACAAGAGCAGCCAGUGGGGGAGAGUUAUCCUCCACUCUCAAGAGGAUGGACCCCGACAGUGUCCUGUGGAGUGCUAGAGGCAUACCUGAGGCUGUUAGAGUUGGGCCUUCUGGAGUUCCUGGAACCGUGUGUGGGACAUCUCAGAGUCUGUGACUCCAGCUGUGAACAUGGCUCAGCCUUGAAGAGGGCAGAGAUGGCAGAGAGCCAGGGGGGAGACCCCAUCAAAGGUUGAGGUCCAAGGUUGAACCUGCCAGGAUCUGAACUCCAAUGCAGAGCAGUGCUGUUUGUAUAAGGGCUAACAAGUCCUAAACAAUGUGAUAGCACAGAGGGCAAUUAAAACACGCACAUGUGAGCACCUCAGAUGGGGAGAGGGCACGAAACAACAGAGAAGUGCACAGUCGCCUUUCGUUUGUGACUUCCAGAUACAAAAGGACCACUGGGGCUUUCUGGCUUCUAGUCUAGAAAAGAAAACUCAAGAUCUGGCUAAAUUUAAGGGAAGUUGCAUCAAAGGAACAGGACACCGGAUUCCUUCUUCUGACUUCUGCACAUGAACAGGGGCACACAUGCACACAUGUACACACACCUAAGACAAAACAAAAACGUAAGGCUCAUAUGCAUCAAGCAGCAAUCCCCUUCUUCCAGAACAUUCUGUGCCAGUGGGGCAGGAACUAUUGAUGGGGAUUGAAUCCAGGCAGGGCCUUCGCAACACUACACAAGCACAAUAUUUGUUUUGGGGUUUUGGUUUUGGGGUUUUUUAACACAGGAUUUCACUGUGUAGCCAAGGCUGGCCUCUAACUCUCUCUCUUUUUAAAAAUUAUGUAUUUAUUUUAUGUAUAUGAGUACACUGUAACUGACUUCAGACACAUCAGAAGAGGGCAUCAAAUUCAUUACAGAUGGUUGUAAGCCAGGUGUUAGGCUCUUAGUGGUUUGGGGGUUUUGUACUGUACAUUUGAAUGUUCUUCCCAUCCAUGGAUGAUUAAAGAGCAAAGGACUUUAAAAUGAUUUUUAACAGCCAAAACAACGUUUUGAGAUAGGGCUAUAUUAUGUAGCCCAGGCUGCUUGGGAAUUCGAAGCAAUCCUCUUUCCCCAGUUUGCUGAGGACUGGGAAGACUGGCGUGAGCCACCGAACCUGGUUACUCAAUGCAGUCUUAAAAAUGGAAAGCCGGUAUUCUAGGUCAGUGCUCCUAGAACAUUAGUGAGCCUCUGGGGGCCCCGGGCCCCCACCCACAUCCCUAGCACAAAGCCCAGAGACCGAGAGGAUGCAGUAAGUGGGGCUUAAAAGCAGUUCCUACCUCAAGAUCAUAAAAGAAAAACAAUUCAUACUUCUUCUCUCUAGAGGACUUUCCCUAAAAUAAGGCUUCUCGUUGAGGUAACGGGAACAAGGAAGAUGUAGCUUCAUUUCUUCCAAGUGACUGACCAGCCGGCUGGCUUACCACCAUAAUCUGUAGUCCCCUUUGCGUCCAGCAUUUACCAAACUCCCAGGUACAAUCCGUCUGCUUCUGGACUCGGCAUCCUGUCCUGGUGACUGCCCCGGAGGUUGUGUCUUUCAACCGUCUGUCCGUCUGUCUAUCUGGGGCUUGAGGAUGGCGCUUCUCUGUGCUGAGAAACUCUUGUGGGUUCUUAGCCAUGAGUGGGGAAAGUAACAGCUCUGAAUUCCUUUUUGAGGGCACACCUUUAUUCUGCACUCAGAGAUCUACUAUACCCACUCGGGGGGAAAAAGUGUCAAUAAUAUUACAUGAGUGUUUGAAAGAGAAUGGCCCUCAUAGGCCUGUAGAGUUGAAUGCUUGGCCCCCAGGGAGUGGCACCAUUAGAAAAGAAGUGUGUUCCCAGGAACAGGCUUUGAGGUUUUAAAAGCACAUGCCAAGUCCAGGAUCUCUACUUCUUUCUGCUGACUGCGGAUCUGGAUGUAAACCCCAGCUUCCUCUCCAGCACUAUGCCUGCACGUCUGCAUAUUCCCCACCAUGAUGAUAAUGGACUAAACCUCUGAAACUUAAGCCGCAAUUAAAUGCUUUCUAAG